CAACUCCUUGCUGCUGUUGAAAUUCAGAAAGUUCAUCUCUGUGAAGUUUUCCAGGGUCUUCUGUUGGCCUGGAACUUUGACUUUGAAGCAAUCCUCUUGGUUUGACUAGAAAUCUCACUUGGCAUGGACAGACCCAGUCGGAUCUCCUCCUGUGGGAGGAGCAGAGUCCCAGUACUCAGGUAGCUAAGAAAAUCAGAUGGGUGUUGGCAAAAAACAAACAAACAAACAAAACAAACAAAAAACAGAAAAAACCAACAACAAUGGCACCAACAAAAACCAACACCAACCAAAAACUGUCACAAAUGAAGAAGGACAACAAUUUGCAUUAAAAGCCUCACAGACUGGCAAGAAGCUCCUUUCAAAGUCUGAAACACAACCAUAAGCACGGGCACACUUCUUGGCUUUCUCCCAUUUCUCCUCCAUGAAGGAAUUUGCCUAUGCGAAGGCACUGUAUGAGGAAAUUUCCAGUUCCAAAGGUAAUUGAUCAUAACUGCCGCACAGUGGUUCAGUAACUCAGGAAUGGUUAUUCCCUGCACCCGAUACAUCAUGUGGAAGACGGCAUAUCUGUUUAUGAUGAAACCAUAGGUCUAACAGUCUAACUCGGAAAUUAUGGUCUGGUUCUUGCAGAUUCCAGUGGAUUCGGAUUAUUAUAGAUAAAGAAGACUUUAACACCACAGUGGAUUUCCACAAAUGGUUUCCACUUCAUUCUUGAAUGCUGAAUGGUAUUUUGAUAGAGUUGUUAAAUGCUUUAGAGAGUUCUUCGUGAAAGGUGUGAGCUGUGGGGUGAGUUCUGCCCAGUGUUUAGUGGCAUCAGGAAGGUUGGUUCUCUUGAUGUUGAUGGCUCUGUCCCCCGCUACACAAAGGAAACACAGGCAGAUGGUGAGCUGCUACAUCCAGUAGUCCAGAUAAUGAAAUGUCUGAAACAGCAGGGAUAUGACUUCUCAUUUUCUGAUGAAGAGCUCUCGGAAAAGGCAAUGGUUUGAAGGCCAGGAAUGAAAAGUGAACCGAACCCAGCAGAUGAACCAGGUGACCACCAUGGCUCCUUAUCUGGAAACCUCAAGAGAACGAGGAAGACAGAUUAUCAGAGGAAAGUGCAGACGACAGCAGUUCUGAAGUGACUGCGUUGGAGCAAGCUUUAGAGGGAAUGGACAUGAACGACAGUUUUCUGGGGAGAGGAAUGGAUCUGAAAACGGCACCAAGCAAGAUGGCCAGACUGGGGCGGGGGUGGGGCGCUGCAGGCUGUGAAGAGUGAGAGGACGGAUGCGCUCAUCUCAUUGCCUUAUCAUCACUGGGCAAGUCUUGGCCUCUCAGAGAUGAAGGAAGGCCAAGGAGCACUGGUCAGCCAGCACACAACAGGCAGCUUGAGUGUGACAUCUAGGGUCAGUGCCCUAAGCCUUUCAACACUCCCUCCUUCAGAACGGGUGAAGCAGAAGGUCAAAGGUUAGCUGGGGAGAAAAAACAAAAGAAAACAAAGAAGCAAACAACAAAACCCAGUAAAAUUCAUCUGCCAGAAGACAGCCGGAGAAAGAAGCAACCCUGGUCCCAAGUAGUGUGUGUGUGUGUGUG